rnacentral:tRNA from 1 species
AGCCCUAUAGUGUAUAAAGCACCUUAGAUUGCAAAUCUAAAAGUGACCCUAAAGGUCUAGAGCUUA